UACUUGCGUAUCCAUUCGGAGUGGUUAUUACGUUCAGUUCUGCACAUGUACUUCACAUUGUGUUUUUACAGGAUUCUGCAUCAGACACAGACAGCUGUUGUGGAUAUAUCUGCAUUUAUAUCUGUGAUAUUUAGGAGAUACUACAGCAGAUUCUGGAGAGAUCAUGAGGUGUGACAGUUCAUAUCUGGAUCAUCAGAAACCACAGAAGAACAAGAAUCACUCAUCAUUCACUGAAUCAAAGAAGAUAAGAUCACCCAAACCUGUGCGUCAUGACAGCAUGAAGGACAUUAAACCCACCUUGUGUCACCGUGAUACAGACAGAUGUGUAAAGUGUCAUUUCAUAAAUAUGAUGGACAUCGACAGAUGAGACAUGAACAGAAAUGAAUCCAUCAGAAGAACUGAACCGCUGAAAGACUGGAGGAAUUCUCUGCUUCUUUACUUUUCAUGUUGAAACAACGAAGGAGUCAAAAUACAAAGUCUAUCUGCAAUGAUUCAUUGACAUUCUCUCAUUUGUUAGUGGCUUUAGAUAGAAGCGUCUGCUAAAUGAAUCUAAAUGGUUCCUGUUGCUCAAGUCUCAGCCUCAGACGUCGAGCCCACGGACCGGGUGAAGGUCAGGAUGAAGUCUGAAGGUCGGGCUACGCGAGACUACUCAGUUGGUAGAGCACUGUGCUGUGAAACACGGAACACACAUCCCGACAUAUACUGUACAGACUAAAUGCACUGUAAGUUGCUUUGGAUAAAAGCAUCUGCCAAUACUGUACACAUGUAUACUAUUAGAACUGCUAGAAUUAUUGAGACAAUCACUUUUUUUACCGAUUUAUAUAGCAUGUAUCUAUCUAUCUUAACAAAACCAAGAACUGUGUCAUUUAAAUACAAAUGUGUCAUGUAAACAAAUCUAUCUAGAGUAAAAACCAUCUUAACAUACGGUUUCAGUCGUGAGUUUUACUGUCAAACUGGAGGAAAUAAAGUGUACUGCUUAUGUGUUUACCAGUGUUCAAAAUCUCCUAAAUAAAGAGAAAAAAAUAAUGUAACACAUUAAACUCGGACAGAGGCUCUGUGCAUAACUGGAUUGGUGUUAUUACGCCACCUUCUGUAAAAUAAAGGUGCUACACAAUGCCAAAAGAAGUAAAGUCAUUCAUGUUUUCAAUGGACAUUAGUGAAUAGACAAAUUAAUAAAAUGUAUUAUAUUUAUUAAAUAUUUUUAUUUAUUUAUUUUUGACACUGUUUUUCUUUCGUUCGACGCCAGGGGGUGCUGCCUAACAGGCUUGAAAACGUGUCCUUAUGGGAAAAAACUUUAAUUUUCAUUUCUGUUCGAAUUAAAAUGACUUGAGAUUUUAACUUGCCUUGCAUCAUUAGUAUAAUACAAUUCUAAAGUUGACCAACCUUUCAAACUUUAAUGUAUAUGAAAAACAAGCUCACGCCUUCACUAGCAAAGCCAUAAUAAAAAUUAAAACAUGUUAAAAUUAAGUAAGGAACUGCAGAUGAUUAUAAAGAAAAUACAAGCCAGUUCUAGGCUACUCAGCUGUCAUUGCAACUUGUAGUCUAAUCAGUGUACACUGACUUUCUUUACUGAAAUGUU